UAAUCCCAAGUAAAUUUCUGAUGUAGGACCAAUGGAGAGCUGUGUUUCGCCCCCGUGAAAUUAACUUAUCACAACAACUGGGAAGGGAAGCUGUUGGCAUAGCUGGAAAAUCGGGCAGCCAUCGGCAGAACGUCACUGCCUUUGCAGUGCUUCCCUGCGUUUCACCCGAGGUUGAUGGCAGGCGCUUGUUCCCGCACAGCACCUUGGUCAGCUCCCGGGGCUGCCCCGGCGGGGCCGCCGCUGCCGCCGCCCGUCUGCAGCCCCCGGCCCCCGGCCCAGCACGGUAUCGCCGAGGAAGAAGGGCAACAGAGAAAUAAAGCACCGAUAUCACUGUUAGGGCUGCUGAAUCUGAGUGGUUGAGGUUGAAGAUGAACAAGAAGCUGUAAGGGGACACAGCCAGGACAACUCUUCUGAACCAGCAAAGGCAUAUUCCCUACCCUAUCAUGUGCUCAGCAACAAAACUGGGGUACUGCAUGAAGAAAGUGUUGAGGGCCUGGGGGAUUGUCUUCUAAGCCGGCUUUUGCUUGAAGUCUGUACUGGGAUUGUUGUGCUUAUAGGGGGUGGUAAAUGACUGCCUUCAUAUGGCUUCUUUCUUUGUCUUCCCUUCACUCAUUAAACUAUCUUUAACUCA